GUUUCAUGCCUCAACCUCUCGCCUUGGUGUCAUUGCUACUACUCCGUUCAAUUCAUUCGUGUGUGUUGGUUGAACAACAGACAAAGAUUGCUUCGGGAAUGGAGUGGGACAACAAUUAUGAUCUGAGCGGAUACGAAGAGGAGGAAGGGUUCAUCUUCAAUGAUGGCGAUGACGCUGGUCCUCUCUUGUUCCCUUUCCCUGUUGCUAAAGACCUCCUCCAAAUGGCACCUUGUGGUUUCGACGUCACCGAUGUGCACGAGCCCGAGGGUGUCCUUAGCCGGAAUUAGGUGCACAUUUCAAUCCUAAUAAUAAGGAGCAUGGUGCCCCUAAGGAUGAGCAUCGUCAUGCUACAAAUUGUAGUAAUUUUGCGGUAAUUUGAUGAGAUUUGUAGAAAGUGAUGAUGUCUUUUGAAGAAGAGGAAUUUUUUUGAUGUUUUGAUUGAAGGUUUUGAGUGAAAAUGAGGAUUUGAUGGUUUUAAGGUAGAGAAAAACUAGUGGAAGGAUUUGAUUGUAUAACAAUUAAAGGAUUAAAUUUGAGCAGAAAUUUGUUAAGACAGCUUGAAGCAUCCCCAUCAGAGUAUGCUAGAGCAAACAAGGAGUUUCGGAAGCUAAGUGUUUUUAUGGACCUUAUUAAGGAAUUGAGGGCCAAACAGAAGGAAAUUGAUGGCUUGAAGUCACUAAUGGCUGAAUGUUUUGAGGAUAAAGACAUGCUUAAUAUGGCUACAGAGGAAAUGGGUCAGGCAGUGGAAGAAGAAAGAAGACUGUAAAAUUUGUUGUUGAAGUCAUUACUUCCUAAGGAUGAUGCUGAUGAAAGGGAUUGCAUUUUGGAGGUGCGCCCAGGUAAAAUGUCUCUGUUGAAAAUGGAUAUCUAUUAUUAAUGUUCAUCAAACAAAUGCUUCAAUGAAUGUUUGCUAAGUUGUCUUAGGACUUGUUCAUCACUUUACUGUUGUACCCUUUUGCUUUUUUCUCUAUGCUUGCUUUCAUCCCAAUUUUCAUUUUGUUAUACCAUGUAUGCCAAUCCUUUCCACACUUUUUUUCACCUGGUUCAAGUCAAAGAAAUCAUUGUGGUUUGUGAUCCUUCAUACAAGGACAUUUUUGAAGAUGCAAAGGAAGAUUACCAAGCAGAACUCAAAUUUCCACUACCUGGAA